CCCUGACAAGCGCACCCUGUGCUUGACUAAACCCAGACAGGAGAUUGACAUG
rnacentral:sRNA from 12 species